rnacentral:rRNA from 1 species
UACAGAGGGUGCAAGCGUUGUUCGGAAUUACUGGGCGUAAAGCGCGUGUAGGCGGCGUCGUUAGUCGGAUGUGAAAGCCCUCGGCUCAACCGAGGAAGUGCAUCCGAUACUGCGAUGCUUGAGUGUUGGAGGGGGUGGCGGAAUUCCCGGUGUAGAGGUGAAAUUCGUAGAUAUCGGGAGGAACACCUGUGGCGAAGGCGGCCGCCUGGACCUGACCUGACGCUGAGGCGCCGAAGGCGCGGGGAGCGAACGGG